rnacentral:misc_RNA from 1 species
GAUGAAGAACGUAGCGAAAUGCGAUAAGUAAUGUGAAUUGCAGAAUCCAGUGAAUCAUCGAAUCUUUGAACGCACAUUGCGCCCGCCAGCAUUCUGGCGGGCAUGCCUGUUCGAGCGUCAUUUCAACCCUCGACCUCCCUUUGGGGAAGUCGGCGUUGGGGACCGGCAGCACACCGCCGGCCCUGAAAUGGAGUGGCGGCCCUUCCGCGGCGACCUCUGCGUAGUAAUCCAACUCGCACCGGAACCCCGACGCGGCCACGCCGUAAAACACCCAACUUCUGAACGUUGACCUCGAAUCAGGUAGGACUACCCGCUGAACUUAAGCAUAUCAAUAAGCGGAGGA